UCCUCUCCACGCUGCCAUGGGGCAGCAGGGUCAGUACUUUCCUGAACGAGGCCCAGGAUGAACUCAGCAGAUUCACAGAGCAGGUCAUGGUGGAAGCUCCUGAAUGCCUCAGUGAAGUUUGCAAAAAGCUGCAUUAGCCCCAGCGUGGUCAUGGAUACUCUGAAAGUUGUUCUCACGUUUGGUUUUGCUGCCAAUCAAGGACAACCUGUAUGAGAAAGCCAUCACUUCUACGCAGACAUUCCUCCAAGAGAAACGCCAAGUGCAGCACACAAUGGAUACCUGACAUUCCUCACAACCCCCGAUGCCCACGUGGCUUGUGGCCACAUGGGCCUCCACACAAGGACUAAUAGACUUUAAUGAUCUUGGAUGCUGAACUACUCAUGAUUGUAACAUGAAAAAGAAGCUCUGGACACUGGGUUACUCCUGAGCCCCAGCU